rnacentral:rRNA from 1 species
AGUGGGUAGUCCGUACGAGCGCACCUUAUCCUUAGUUGCUACCGCGUAAUGGCGAGGACUCUAAGGAGACUGCCGGUGCUAAGCCGGAGGAAGGCGGGGACGACGUCAAGUCAUCAUGGCCCUUACGGGUAGGGCUACACACGUGCUACAAUGGUCAGUACAGAGGGUUGCCAAGCCGCGAGGUGGAGCUAAUCUCAGAAAGCUGGUCAUAGUCCGGAUUGCAGUCUGCAACUCGACUGCAUGAAGUCGGAAUCGCUAGUAAUCGCGAAUCAGCAUGUCGCGGUGAAUACGUUCUCGGGCCUUGUACACACCGCCCGUCACACCAUGGGAGUGGGUUGCACCAGAAGUCAGUAGCUUAACUUUAUUGAGGGCGCUGACCACGGUGUGGUUCAUGACUGGGGUGAAGUCGUAACAAGGUAGCCGUAGGGGAACCUGCGGCUGGAUCACCUCCUU